UCUCCAUCACUCUCCCUUUCUCUUAAAUCUUGUAAUAGCCACCUCAAAAUUCUCUUAGGGUUCUUGAAGAAACCCUCUUCAUUUCCAGCCAAGGUAAGUAGAAAUCUUAUGUGUUUAGCUCGAUUUUUCCAUGAAAGAUUAGGAUUUCUUGUUGUUCAUGCUUAAAAUAUGGGGCAGACCUUUCCCCAAGUUGACUGCCCAUCUUUUCUUGGUUAUUAAGAGAGUUUUCUCUUCUUAUUUGGUUAUAGUGGUAAGGCAAGUUUAAGCUCUUGAAGGAGUACAAUUUAAGAGAACAAAUUUCCAGAAUUGGAGGUAAGUUACUGCCCCAAUUUUCCCCCUCUCUUUGUUGUAGGUUUGGAUGGAGAAUUUUAUACAUAUUAUUAUUGUGAGUUCAGAAAGGUGAGUGGAAGCCAUGAGUUCAAUAUUUUGCUAUUGUGCUGAAUGAUUUUGGGGCCAUUAGGAGUUGUAUAUAUGUAUUGUUGUUGGGGGCAGUGUGUGGCCUCAUAGAAUUGUUGAGUGGAGUUAUAAUGAAUUAUAAAAGGUGGGUGUGACACCACUUAAUUGAGGGGGUUAUGGAACUUGCUGCCUACCACACUUCUGUCAUAUUAUUUUGUGUUAUGAAGUCUGUGAGUUUCGGGGACUUUAUAUUGUAUAGUAUAACGAUUAGAUGAAGAAGGGAUGAAAGAACACCCUUGAUUUGAUAAGUCGGGGAUUUACUCCCCGGUUACUGUUUUGGGGAGAUCAAGUAACCUAAAUUGGUUGAUUAGCUACUAAUAAUAGUUUUUAUGAUUUAUUUAAUUGUAGAUAAAUAAUCAAAAGGACAGAAGGUUAAAUCGUUGUAAUACACAAGUUGUGCAGCAAGGUAGUUAAGGCUAUUCCAUUUCAUACUCUUUGGCAUGAAGUCCCAUAUUCUGUGUACCAACUAAUUGAGAUCUCUAAGUGAUCCUCAUGGUAAAAGAUACGUUGUGAUAGUGUACAAUCACUAGUGUGGUUAAGGAUUAUCCUCUUACUGUUCAUGAUUUCACAAAUGUGUCAAACUACUCCUAUAUGUGUUCAUUAUCCUAUAUUGGCGUGACUAUACUUCCAAGCACAAGUAUGACAAAGGUACUCUAAAGAGUAAGUUUGGUGAGUUAUCCUCUAAUUCAAAUAAGGAUUCAUUGAGUCAAUAAGAUCCUACAUUACACAUGUAAUGAGUGUUCAAGUUUAGGGUUUAUGCCCUAAGGUUUAGAGUUUAGGGUUUAUUCUCUAAGGUUUAGAGUUUAGGAUUUAAGCCAAAAGGUUUAAGGUUUAUGGUUUAGUAUUUAGGAGCCGUUUGGUUAUGGGAUAAGCCCAAAUCUAAUACAUGAAUAACUUUGGUUAUUCAUGUAUUAGUUUUAUGCCAUGUUUGAUUUGUAAAUAAAAUAAAAGUUAUUCAUGUAUUAAUUUUGUAUAAUGUUUGGUUGGUAGGUUUUAAAUAUUGUAUAAAAGUUAUUAAUGCAUUAAUUGUAUACAAUGUUUGGUUGUGUUUUAGUGAUUCCACAUAAUUAAUAUUUACAUAACUUAUGAGGAAAUCAAUGUAUAUUUUAUGCAGGGUAGAAGAUGGAAUAAGUUAUGUGGGUAUUAAAUAUACAUGGAUUAAAAUUAUAAAAUUACAUAUUUACCCCUUCUUCUUUUUUUCCAUAAGGCUUAGUUUAGAACAAAUUACGUAGGGACCCAGUA
rnacentral:lncRNA from 1 species